rnacentral:lncRNA from 1 species
AGGGGUGAAAGAAAGAUAUGGAUGGAUGAAAGCAAAACAUAAAGGUCUUUAUUCCUAUUGAUUGAAGGCCAUGCCCAAUAGGCAUUCAACAAGUAGUCUAUGACCAUAACAAGGAUUUUGGAGACUUUAGAAGGGGCAUUUGAGUCUCAAAAGCAAAAAUUUUAAGGUUUAGGAUUUGAGCUAUAAUUUAUGUAAAAAGUUUAGAGGAUUUGAAGUUAAAGUGAUAAAGUUAUAGCUAUUUGAAGUUAAUCUUUUUAAAAUAGCACAUAUAAAUCAAAGGCAAUAAGUGAUUUGUUUUGG